GGGUGGCCAAGAACUGGGGCACCGUGCGCAGCAGCACGCGGCCCGGGCUGCCCUGCCUUCUAGGCCUGGAGCUCGAGCCCCCAGGGUGGCAAUACCAAGCUGGAGGGUAAGCAAGGGUGGAGUAAUAGUGGGGUUGAGGUCUCCGAGGCAAGUACGGAGCGUGCCCCCACCACUUCGAGGCCGCCUAUCCAGGGGCGGUGGCUAGGAUGAGCUCAUGGGGGCGGGGCGCCAAGAUCCCGCCCUUCUCGACCCCCCUCACUGCUCGCGAUGCAGGAUGGUCCCCAAAACAACAUUCAGGAGGGUGCGAGUACCCCCUUCAUAGCUGAGGGCUCUUGAUUACCUGGCUCUAGCCCGCAGACUCUUGCACCAGUUCCCAGCACUCAGAGGGGACAGGCCAGCGAUCCCCUGAUUUCCCGGCCCCAGAAGCCCCUCGAGCCGAGGCCCAGAAGCUCAGCCCUCGGCCUCAACCCGCUGGCGAGGGGCGCCAGGACCCCGAUCGGCGCACGGAGCCCACAGGUGGCGCCGCAACUUCGCGGUUGCGCUGCGCCUUCUCAGCAGGGCCUAGCGCGCUGCCCAGCCUGGCUACCGUGGGGUGCGCCCUGUCCCCAGUGGCUGCUCACCCAGAAGACGAAAUUGAAGACGAAGAGCAGGAUUUCAACAUAGACCAAAGACCAGCAUCUCUUCAGGAAUCCUCUAGGACUCCAGCACUAGAUGGUACUGCUGAGACACCCAGUCUUGGGGACUGAACAACUGCCAGAUUCUUGGCCUUCCCACUGGAAUACUGCUAUUGUUGGAAUACCAGGCUACAGCCGUCAAAGAUCUGAUCUGUCCGUGGUUAAAGAUGUGAGCUCGCCAUGUCUUCCACUUGUUGCUAUGCCUUCCUGCGAUGAUGGACUCGCAUCCCUCUGGAACGAUGUUUCCAGAGCGGUCUAACCUGGGCAGGAGUGAGCACUUUCCAGCAAGUGGCUGAGUACUAAAAGGUGGCCCAGUCUAAAGAAAAAGCAGUGUUGGCUGCCUGCCUGCCUUCCCUGGGUCUGGAGCCAGUGUGUCCAUCUGCUGCCACUGUCUUCUUUUGACGUCAGACUGAAGUUUCUUCAGCCUUCUCUAACAAGAACGAAACACCAGUGACUCUUCAGGAAUUUUCCAGGCCUUCAGCACCAGACUGAGACUGCUGAAGCGAUCAGCUUUUUGGACUAAACAGCCUGUUUAGUGUUGUGGGCCCUGUUUCUGAACACCACAGUCAGAUUAAGUUUGUAUCCUUUUAAUCCUCACAACGAAGAUCAAACUUGGAGACAACAUUAAACUUCAAUUCAACUGCAUCCAAAUCAUAUAAUUACUAAAGGACUAAUCUUAAAGCCAAAGGCAGAAGAGCACGGGGAGGCUGCCCUGGGAUUCACUGAAGUUGCCAUUCAUACAGCUAAUGAUCAGGGGCACUCUGUGGAAUGUGACUUCUUAGGAAUCAUUUAAGAUCGCAUUGGGAGAUUGCAUUGCAAAAUUACAUGGUGUCCUGUGGCAUAUAAUAUGUGUAGCCAAUGUGUGGUGAUGCUUUCCCCGCAAACCAGAAUCCCCCAGCUGGAAGCCUCAGGGGUAGCUGUGGGGGCACCACUUCUUUCAAUAAGAGCGAAUGAACCAUUCUAGGAGUUAUGUAUGCUUCACGCCUUCAAAGACAUUUUCCUGUGUUGGAACUCCUAGUAGCCAACAAAGGAAGAUCCUGGUCAGAGAACAGAAUGUGCAGCAGAGCUGGACACCCGGUGGCACCUGGCUGCUUUGGGCUCCUCCAUGCUGGGUUAAGAGACCCACAAGAGUGCUGGCUGAGUCGUGCUAAAAUGAAGAACUAAGGGUGCUGCUGAUGCUCAUUCUAGGCAGGUUUGGGUAGUCUGGGCUCUGUUGGCCCUCCACAGCAGUAAUAAAAGAAAUAGCAACAAGAGUCAAGAAGAGAUUCUCCCAGGAAUGAAAAACUGGAAAACAAGACAAACCAUGAAUGGUUAAAGCCAUGCAGACUGGCUCGGUAAUGAGCUGCAAGGAUGUGCAUUCUCUUACAGCAUCCAGUGGGUGUUUUUUGUUUUGUUUUGUUUGUGCUGUAUUGUGUAUAUUUUACAAUCUCUAUCUCACUUUUCUUCUUUUUUCCCCUCCUGUCCCACCACCAUUGUAUAUGGGAUCCUAUAUUCCUUUCUCCUUCCCUCCUUUGCACUCCCUUUCUGUGGUUUUGUUUUGAUGUUGUUGUUUCUUUGUUCAUUCAUUUGUUUUUGAAGUGGAGUCUUUCUGUUUAGUCUAGCCUGGCCUCAAAAUCACAAUCCUCUUGCCUCUGCCUCUUUGAGUUUGAAUUACACACACACACACACACACACACACACACACACACACACACACACAAACACACACCACCUUGUUCUGAGUGUUUGCUAAUUUUUAUCAACUUUAUACAAACCUAGACAUAUUUGGGAAGAGGGAAGGAAUUUCAGCCGAGGAGUUGCUUGCAUCAGAUUGUUCUGUAGGCAAGUCUGUGAGGGCAUUUUCUUGAUUAGUGAUGACUCGGGGAGGGCUCAGCCUCCUGUGGGUGGAGCUCCCUCUGGGCUGUAUAAGGAAGGAGGCUGUGCAAACCAUGAGGUACCAACUAGUCAGCAGUGUGCCUAUGUGGUUUCUGUUUGAGUCUCUGCCUCCAGGUUCCUGUUCUGCUUGAAUUCCUGCAUUGGCUUUCAUUAAUGAUGUAUUGUUACCUGGAAGUAUAAGUCAAAUAAAUCCUAUCCUCCC
rnacentral:lncRNA from 1 species